GGGGGUAUAGCUCAGAUGGAAGAGCAUCUGUUUUGCACGCAGAGGGUCAGCGGUUCGAAUCCGCUUACCUCCA
rnacentral:tRNA from 1 species